UAAGGGCGCACGGUGGAUGCCUUGGCACUAGAAGCCGAUGAAGGACGUUACUAACGACGAUAUGCUUUGGGGAGCUGUAAGUAAGCUUUGAUCCAGAGAUUUCCGAAUGGGGAAACCCAGCAUGAGUUAUGUCAUGUUAUCGAUAUGUGAAUACAUAGCAUAUCAGAAGGCACACCCGGAGAACUGAAACAUCUUAGUACCCGGAGGAAGAGAAAGAAAAUUCGAUUCCCUUAGUAGCGGCGAGCGAAACGGGAAGAGCCCAAACCAACAAGCUUGCUUGUUGGGGUUGUAGGACACUCUAUACGGAGUUACAAAGGACGACAUUAGACGAAUCAUCUGGAAAGAUGAAUCAAAGAAGGUAAUAAUCCUGUAGUCGAAAAUGUUGUCUCUCUUGAGUGGAUCCUGAGUACGACGGAGCACGUGAAAUUCCGUCGGAAUCUGGGAGGACCAUCUCCUAAGGCUAAAUACUCUCUAGUGACCGAUAGUGAACCAGUACCGUGAGGGAAAGGUGAAAAGCACCCCGGAAGGGGAGUGAAAUAGAACCUGAAACCGUGUGCUUACAAGUAGUCAGAGCCCGUUAAUGGGUGAUGGCGUGCCUUUUGUAGAAUGAACCGGCGAGUUACGAUUUGAUGCAAGGUUAAGCAGUAAAUGUGGAGCCGUAGCGAAAGCGAGUCUGAAUAGGGCGUUUAGUAUUUGGUCGUAGACCCGAAACCAGGUGAUCUACCCUUGGUCAGGUUGAAGUUCAGGUAACACUGAAUGGAGGACCGAACCGACUUACGUUGAAAAGUGAGCGGAUGAACUGAGGGUAGCGGAGAAAUUCCAAUCGAACCUGGAGAUAGCUGGUUCUCUCCGAAAUAGCUUUAGGGCUAGCCUCAAGUGAUGAUUAUUGGAGGUAGAGCACUGUUUGGACGAGGGGCCCCUCUCGGGUUACCGAAUUCAGACAAACUCCGAAUGCCAAUUAAUUUAACUUGGGAGUCAGAACAUGGGUGAUAAGGUCCGUGUUCGAAAGGGAAACAGCCCAGACCACCAGCUAAGGUCCCAAAAUAUAUGUUAAGUGGAAAAGGAUGUGGCGUUGCCCAGACAACUAGGAUGUUGGCUUAGAAGCAGCCAUCAUUUAAAGAGUGCGUAAUAGCUCACUAGUCGAGUGACACUGCGCCGAAAAUGUACCGGGGCUAAACAUAUUACCGAAGCUGUGGAUUGUCCUUUGGACAAUGGUAGGAGAGCGUUCUAAGGGCGUUGAAGCAUGAUCGUAAGGACAUGUGGAGCGCUUAGAAGUGAGAAUGCCGGUGUGAGUAGCGAAAGACGGGUGAGAAUCCCGUCCACCGAUUGACUAAGGUUUCCAGAGGAAGGCUCGUCCGCUCUGGGUUAGUCGGGUCCUAAGCUGAGGCCGACAGGCGUAGGCGAUGGAUAACAGGUUGAUAUUCCUGUACCACCUAUAAUCGUUUUAAUCGAUGGGGGGACG
rnacentral:rRNA from 1 species